AGAACGAACGCUGGCGGCAUGCCUAACACAUGCAAGUCGAACGAGACCUUCGGGUCUAGUGGCGCACGGGUGCGUAACGCGUGGGAAUCUGCCCUUAGGUUCGGAAUAACUCAGAGAAAUUUGAGCUAAUACCGGAUGAUGACGUAAGUCCAAAGAUUUAUCGCCUAGGGAUGAGCCCGCGUAAGAUUAGGUAGUUGGUGGGGUAAAGGCCUACCAAGCCGACGAUCUUUAGCUGGUCUGAGAGGAUGAUCAGCCACACUGGGACUGAGACACGGCCCAGACUCCUACGGGAGGCAGCAGCGGGGAAUAUUGGACAAUGGGCGAAAGCCUGAUCCAGCAAUGCCGCGUGAGUGAUGAAGGCCUUAGGGUUGUAAAGCUCUUUUACCCGGGAUGAUAAUGACAGUACCGGGAGAAUAAGCCCCGGCUAACUCCGUGCCAGCAGCCGC
rnacentral:rRNA from 1 species